rnacentral:rRNA from 1 species
GAUGAACGCUGGCGGCGUGCCUAAUACAUGCAAGUCGAGCGAACGGACGAGAAGCUUGCUUCUCUGAUGUUAGCGGCGGACGGGUGAGUAACACGUGGAUAACCUACCUAUAAGACUGGGAUAACUUCGGGAAACCGUAGCUAAUACCGGCUAAUAUUUUGAACCGCAUGGUUCAAAAGUGAAAGACGGUCUUGCUGUCACUUAUAGCUGGAUCCGCGCUGCAUUAGCUAGUUGGUAAGGUAACGGCUUACCAAGGCAACGAUGCAUAGCCGACCUGAGAGGGUGAUCGGCCACACUGGAACUGAGACACGGUCCAGACUCCUACGGGAGGCAGCAGUAGGGAAUCUUCCGCAAUGGGCGAAAGCCUGACGCAGCAACGCCGCGUGAGUGAUGAAGGUCUUCGGAUCGUAAAACUCUGUUAUUAGGGAAGAACAUAUGUGUAAGUAACUGUGCACAUCUUGACGGUACCUAAUCAGAAAGCCACGGCUAACUACGUG